rnacentral:rRNA from 1 species
GAUGAACGCUAGCGGCAGGCCUAACACAUGCAAGUCGAGGGGUAACUAGAGUGAUAGCAAUAUUACUUUGGCUAGACCGGCGCACGGGUGCGUAACACGUAUGCAACCUACCUUAUACUGGGGAAUAACUUCGAGAAAUCGGCGCUAAUACCCCAUAACAUUGCGAAGAGGCGUCUCUUUGCAAUUAAAGCUCCGGCGGUAUAAGAUGGGCAUGCGUCCAAUUAGCUAGUUGGUGAGGUAACGGCUCACCAAGGCUACGAUUGGUAGGGGUUCUGAGAGGAUGAUCCCCCACACUGGUACUGAGACACGGACCAGACUCCUACGGGAGGCGGCAGUGAGGAAUAUUGCGCAAUGGACGAAAGUCUGACGCAGCCAUGCCGCGUGCAGGAUAACGGCCCUAUGGGUUGUAAACUGCUUUUGUACGGGAAUAAACCCUUCUACGUGUAGGAGGCUGAAGGUACCGUAAGAAUAAGCACCGGCUAACUCCGUGCCAGCCGCCGCGGUAA